rnacentral:lncRNA from 1 species
CCCAGCCCCCGCGCUCGGCCCGGCCCCGCUCGGCGGCGUGUCGGGAGGAAGCGCCGGCCGCGCGGCCGCCGGCCCCUCGGUUCGCCCGCCCCCCGUCUCCUCCCCUUCGCAGCCGAUCCUCCGCCCCCUCCUCCUCCCGCUGGCGGCGGCGGCGGCUUUCUCGGCCCGGCUCCCCGCUCUUCCCCGCGGCUUCGCCUCGCUCUUCAGCGGGAGGCUCCGCGCCGCGCCGGCGAAGACGGCAGUGCUGCAAGGAGCCUCUGGGAGUUCUGGAGGGAAGAGACCAGCCUCCUUUUGGAGACCUUUGCUACGGGUGAAGACCGUCAAACAAGUCAAGCAGAUACAGCAGGAGCUCAGAAGUUUUACAUCAAGUGCAAGUAAGCGAAUGACUCACCAGUUAUCUAAAGCAUCAGUUCUGCAGAUCUGCUUCCAGCAGGCUUUACAAGCUGAUGAGGUGAGUGAAGAGGCAUUGCCAGCUAGAAGGCAUGCUUUGUUUUCUGUGGUUCUGUCUCCUGAUACCUCUUAGGUGUGGAUUUAGUUGCCCCCUUCUUCUAGGCGUAUGCUUUUAUCAUUUUCCUUUUGUUUUGUUGUUCUGGGCUUUUCAGACACAACAAACUUCUCAAGUGUAUCCAUUCAUCUCUUUCACCACCAGCAGCUUCUACAGAUCUUAGGCUUUUUUUUUUAAAAAAAACACAGUUCAUCUUGUGUAUCCCCACUUAGCAGGAUUUGAUACUUUCUGCUCUUGUAUUUUAUUUAUUUGACAAGAGAUACUCUAGCGUAUGAUAUCAUUGGGAAGACUUGAAGGUGUCUCUGAUCUUAUUCCAACUGUUCUCUUCUGCUGGUUUUAGGAGUUGAAGUGUGUAUACAGGGCCAAAAAAAUCUCAUUACUGUUAAAGGUGAAAGAUUAUCUUAAGGCCUCCCCUUCAUGCAUGCUCAGAUGUGUAAAAGUUAAUUUAAAUCACACAGUCUGAAUGAGAAGAGAGGUAUCUGAAUCCAGGUGGUUUUUUACCCUAAAUUGCAAAGUAGAUUCAAAAAUAUUUUUUAUUCAUAGGACUAAUGUGCUUGUUUCAUCACAUUGUACUGAUGAGAUACAAAGCAGUAGUAGAAGCUACUAUUUACUGAAGUACUACACUAAUUUACCUCAAGAGAUGACUAUGUUCUAAGUACCCAAACAGAAAAUGAGCUGUCUAAAUUUUUCUCAGCAUCAAUAUUUCAGAGCUAUUUCAAUUCCAUAUCUGCUUCAUUAAAAACGAAUUAUAUAAAUGGUGUAGUUGUAAGUACUGAGAAUAACUUGAAUAGCUUAAAUGAGAUAAAUGGUUAAGAUUUUGCACUGUAACAUGUGCUGGGCUGAUCAGUGUGAAAACUCAGUCCUGUGUGAGAGUUAUUUACAUUUUCUUCCCUUUGGUCCUUCCAACCAUGAAUAUUUAUGCUAGCGUAUUGGAUAUGGGGGGGACUGCAUGUGGCAGUGCAGCUGAGUGUAGAAAUUAUGGGUUUCUUUUUGUGUCAUGCAUCAGUUUCUGUUAUAAAGUAUGAAUAUCAUGUACAGUGAAGUAAAUGUUAAACACUUAUGCAACUUUGAAAUUUCCUAAUAUUUCCCUUCUCUGGCAGCCCUUUUACUGUGGUUCUGUUGCUUAUGUUUUGACUACAGACAGCUGGAAUUUGCUUUGAAAAUAUCAAUGUCUGUUUAAUUUGCUGAUUAGCUUUGAAGCAGUUCCUUUCUUAGACCCUGAUUAAAAGGGAUGUUUGGAGAGCAAGGAGAGACUUUCUUGUUUAUAUGUAGCAGAAGACUGCUGUAGCAAGAGAUGUGUGUUUGAGAAUGACUGAAAGCUCUGGUACUCACUUCACUUAAUUUUUACUGCUUGCCUUCUUGCCUUGCUUUCUGAUGGCUUUGUACCAAAUUUCUACAGGGAUUGUGUUAAAAGGAAAAAAAAAAGUUUUAUUAAUAACAUAAAAUCAUAAAAUCACUGAAGUUAGAGAAAAGCUCCAAGGUCAUCCAGUCCACCUAUCCACCUAUCACCAGUAUUUCCUAUUAUUAUGGGAUUAUUGACUUCUCUUUCCAUCUUUGACAUGUUUGGGACCUUUAAAUUCAGCACUGUGAUAUCAUCUGCUUGAGGAUGCAGGAAAAAAACCAUCAAGCUAAAACAGUGUAAUCCUUCAUGAUGUAUAUUAGUGGAAAAGGUGCAACAUACUUGUUUCAUGAAAAUUAGGUUCAGACCUGUGUUAGACUGCAUUAUUCCUAAUCAUAUGUUGACAGAAAUUCAAUGCCCACUAAAACAGUGUGAGUCAUCACUGCUAAAUUACAGUGCCAGUGGCACAAGGAUUAUGUACUGGCACGGUGUUUUUGCUGUACUGUUCUUAGUUUGUUAAAUGUAAAACUGAAGGUCACGAUGCCCACAUUUUAGAAACCUAUCAUGGAAGCACUGGGGUUUUGCAGCUGAAAUAGAGAGAUAAAAGGAACCAUCUGGCUGAGACUCCCCAGAUCAAGAUGAGUCUCUGGAUGGUCACCUGAAGAAAUCCUGGUUAUUGAUAGCAGUAGUAUUACAGCUGGUCACUUUGUUCCAUAUUAUUAUAUAUUGCAAGGAAACUUGUGUGUGUGUGAUAGUUUCUUCCCCCAGGCCGAGGAGGAGGAGGAGAAGAAAAGGCCUGCUGUUCUGGCCAGGGAGAAUUGGAGUAGGAUGGCCAGUAAGUGUUUUGUCCUUGAGAUGUGGCAGAGGUCCCCUGAUGUGCAUUUGCCAUCUCCUUAAGAGCAGUCCCUAGCUCCUCUGUUAGUAGUUGUAGGGUCAUCGCUUCCCUCUUGUUUUAGGGGAAACACUGUGAAGGAAGGGGAGUGUCAGUUCAAAUGGUCAGGGAGAGGAGAAAACAAGGGGUGUGAGUCUCUAGACUUUAGGGUUGGGAACUAAUCUGUCUGCAUUUACACUAAUUUUACAUGACCCUGGCUGUGUAAAUACAUUGCUCAUUUUACAUUAGAGCAUUGGCUAAAAGCCACAAGCAAUCCUGGAAGCAGGGUCUGGUAUCUUAUCUGCCCCACAAAUGUCAGCUGCCAGCUCUACAAGCUGCCAGGUCUACAAGCUGCCCAAGGUGUAAGUACGCUCUUGUUAGGGAAUAAGUCCUGAAGAGUUAUUUAUGCAAGGGCUUUUGGCUUGCUCCAUUAAAUAAUUAAGCCUCUCUUCCUGGAGAAGCAUUUCAUCCAUGCCAACAAAAUGCUUCUGGUUUCUUGUAAGAAGAUUGUGAGACUGGGUUCUGGUACAGCGAGUCAUAGUUGCUGGCUGUAUGUACAUACAAUUUCUGGUCAUGAAAUUAGCAAUAUUUCUAAGAUUAAAAUCUAAAUUUAUUUUACACUUAAGUAAAAGGUCUUGAAGUUUAGUAAUCUGUCUUCAAACUUGUUACCUUUGAAAUGAUAACUGAAGUCAUUGCAAUACAAAGCAAGUUUUCUUCUGGGAUUAAUUGUUCUGAGUGUCUUUAGCCCUUAUGUACAGUAAUGAGAUCUGAGAGUUGCUCUGAAGCUCAGGAUUAUGGGUGUGGGCUGGAGACUCAAAGUCUCCAUGCUUUGCCAUUUCUGGGUGGUUUUCAAGUGAGUGCCUGCAUGCGUUAGUAUCUGCAAAGAACCACUUCUGUUCUGACAUUUGCACCUUGACUUGCUUUCUAAUUGUGUCUUGCAGCUUGACAUAAACACCUUCUCAUAUAAAGAGAUGUGAGAGACUGGAAAACAUUCUUUGAAGAAUAAAACAAAUUUAAUGAAAAGGGCUUUAGAGAGU